rnacentral:rRNA from 1 species
AACGAACGCUGGCGGCAGGCCUAACACAUGCAAGUCGAACGCCCUAGCAAUAGGGAGUGGCGCACGGGUGAGUAACGCGUGGGAACGUGCCUUUCAGUCUGGAAUAACUGCGGGAAACUGCAGCUAAUACCGGAUAUUCUCUACGGAGGAAAGAUUUAUUGCUGAAAGAUCGGCCCGCGUUAGAUUAGGUAGUUGGUGGGGUAAUGGCCUACCAAGCCUACGAUCUAUAGCUGGUCUGAGAGGAUGAUCAGCCACACUGGAACUGAGACACGGUCCAGACUCCUACGGGAGGCAGCAGUGGGGAAUAUUGGACAAUGGGCGCAAGCCUGAUCCAGCCAUGCCGCGUGAGUGACGAAGGCCUUAGGGUUGUAAAGCUCUUUUGUCAGGGAAGAUAAUGACGGUACCUGAAGAAUAAGACACGGCUAACUUCGUGCCAGCCGCCGCGGUAA